AUGGUAUCAGAGCACAGGAUGGCGGAUUCAAGGAACAAGUUUGCACAACCGGAUGAAGACACACCCUUUGGGCGACACUUGAAGGAAGUCACUAGGUACCUGAACAUCGGAAUACCAAGCUUCACCGGGACCUACAACACCACUUUACCAGAAGAGCAGCGCUGGAUGAUACGAGUUCAAGUUCCAGGAAGGACAUUCACGCCACUCACAGAGCCCAUAGAGUUUUCCUUUGAUGCACCAACCAGGAGUCUCGGCAAGAGCAUGGGAGCUCACAUCGCCAUGGGGCGCAUCGGCGAAGCCACAAGGAUCUCAAGGAUACUAUCUACCAGAUAUGUGGGCGCCGAGAUGAGCAAUGGGAGAUAG
rnacentral:rRNA from 1 species